rnacentral:tRNA from 1 species
UGUAGCUCAGUUGGUAGAGUGCUUGCCUCACAUGCACAAGGCCCUGGGAUCAAACCCCAGCA